rfam:Nematostella vectensis strain CH2 x CH6 NEMVEscaffold_161_Cont16368, whole genome shotgun sequence.
GGGGAUGUAGCUCAGUGGUAGAGCGUCCGUUUUGCAUGCGGAAGGACCGGGGUUCGAUCCCCCGCAUCUCCA